GAUGAACGCUGGCGGCGUGCCUAAUACAUGCAAGUCGAGCGAACAGAUAAGGAGCUUGCUCCUUUGACGUUAGCGGCGGACGGGUGAGUAACACGUGGGUAACCUACCUAUAAGACUGGAAUAACUCCGGGAAACCGGGGCUAAUGCCGGAUAACAUUUAGAACCGCAUGGUUCUAAAGUGAAAGAUGGUUUUGCUAUCACUUAUAGAUGGACCCGCGCCGUAUUAGCUAGUUGGUAAGGUAACGGCUUACCAAGGCAACGAUACGUAGCCGACCUGAGAGAGUGAUCGGCGACACUGGAACUGAGACACGGUCCAGACUCCUACGGGAGGCAGCAGUAGGGAAUCGGCCGCAAUGGGCGAAAGCCUGACGGAGCAAGGCCGCGUGAGUGAUGAAGGUCUUCGGAUCGUAAAACUCUGUUAUUAGGGAAGAACAAAUGUGUAAGUAACUGUGCACGUCUUGACGGUACCUAAUCAGAAAGCCACGGCUAACUACGUG
rnacentral:rRNA from 1 species